rnacentral:sRNA from 1 species
GCUGGGCAUGGUGGUGCAUGCCUGUAAUCCUAGCAGCUCAGGAGGCUAAGGCAGGAGGAUUGCAAGUUCAAAGCCAAUCUCAGCCACUUAGAAAAGCCCUAGGAAACUUAGUGAGACCCUGUCUCAA